rnacentral:lncRNA from 1 species
GUGAACAGUAGGUCGGGCUUAACUAAGAAGUGUGGACAAUAACUGUUAGGUGAGCUCACAUGACUUAGAGACUAAGUCACUAUAAUAUGCUUAGAAAAGUAUUUGAGUAAAGAGUUGCCUACUCAUCGAUGUGCAUGUUACCAAUAACUGUUAGGUGAGGUGCAUGUCAUCGGUGAGACCGCAGCACUCAUUAGGAAUCUUUUAUUGUGUUAGGAUUUUCAUUUUCUUCCUAGAGAGUGAAGGGAUCUAAUAAAUUAGUGGG